AUGCUCGCUCCAGUGCUAGUGAUUUGUUCUGCCAGAAAAUGCUUGCUACAGUUCAAUAAUGGAGGGAGGAAACAGCUGGUCUGCACAUUCGUGAGUGAACAGCAUUUAAUAAGCUUCCAGGGCACAAAAGAAGAAAUGAUGCAACUUGAGGUGGAUCUUGGUGAGGAAGCAAUGCAGCAUGGCAUGAAUUGCCUGCCCCUAUCUGGAAAUCACUUGUGUGAGCGGGAGACAAGCUUUUGGAAAAUGGCUUCCAAAGCACUCUUCCUACAGUGUGUGGGUUCCCCCUGCAUUUGGUCAAGCAUAACAGGUUGCUCCUGGAAUUGCACAUUUUUCAUGGAAGGAACCAAUUAA
rnacentral:lncRNA from 1 species